rnacentral:rRNA from 1 species
AUUCUCAUAUGAAUAAUUUAAAAAAUGAAGUUUAAAUUUCAUCAACCGCCCCAGCCAAAAAUUUUUAAAAAUCAUAGCAAUCAUCCUUACAAAAUUAUUUUAAGAUUUGGGGAUCUUCUCCUCCUCUUAAAAAAUUUUAACUUUCUCAUAAAAAAAAAAAUUCAAGCCUUAAAAUAUAGACAAACUUACCCUCUUUUAUUCAUUGAUACUUUUUUACAAUUAAUAAACUAAUUAUUGUGUCCCCUUUGCAA